UCUGUGUGAAUGAAGUACACAGUCUGGCCUGCCCCCUGAGUUGUUUAAAGGGCCGCGGUAUCUAAACCGUGCUAAGGUAGCAUAAUAAAUAGUCUUUUAAUUGAGGUCUAGUAUGAAUGGUCGGACAGGGGGUGAGCUGUCUUGGUUGUAAAAUUUGAAUUUUACUUUUAAGUGAAAAGGCUUAAAUUGUAUGGUGGGACGAUAAGACCCUAUAAAGCUUUACAUUCUAGUUGUUAGUUGAAGAAGUUAUGGUUUUCUGUUCUUGUCAGUUAGUGUGUUUCGUUGGGGCGACGGGAAUAUAAAUAGUAACUGUUUUCUUUGAAAAAUAGAGUUUUUUAGUGGAUUUGAUCCUUUAUAGAGAUUAUAAGAGUAAAGUUACUUUAGGGAUAACAGCGUAAUUCUUCUUGAGAGUUCAUAUCGACAGAAGUAGUUGCGACCUCGAUGUUGAAUUAAGGUGCCCCCCAGGUGUAGCAGUUUUGGUGGUAGGUCUGUUCGACCUUUAAAAU
rnacentral:rRNA from 1 species